GACGAACGCUGGCGGCGUGCUUAACACAUGCAAGUCGAACGGAAAGGCCCUGCUUUUGUGGGGUGCUCGAGUGGCGAACGGGUGAGUAACACGUGAGUAACCUGCCCUUGACUUUGGGAUAACUUCAGGAAACUGGGGCUAAUACCGGAUAGGAGCUCCUGCUGCAUGGUGGGGGUUGGAAAGUUUCGGCGGUUGGGGAUGGACUCGCGGCUUAUCAGCUUGUUGGUGGGGUAGUGGCUUACCAAGGCAUUGACGGGUAGCCGGCCUGAGAGGGUGACCGGGCACAAUGGGACUGCGAUACGGCCCAGACUCGUACGGGAGGCAGAAGUGGGGAGUAUUGCACAAUGGGCGGAAGCCUGAUGCAGCGACGCCGCGUGCGGGAUGACGGCCUUCGGGUUGUAAACCGCUUUCGCCUGUGACGAAGCGUGAGUGACGGUAAUGGGUAAAGAAGCACCGGCUAACUACGUG
rnacentral:rRNA from 1 species